UUUACUCUACCGGGAUGGUCGGUGCGGUCGCCACCCUUUCUCGUUUAGGCUAAAGCGGUCGGUUUGUGAAAGCUGAGGUUAAAUAUGCGUGUUGUGCAGCUGUUUGCCUUCACAUUGAGCAGUAAAAGUGAAAAACAACCUGAAUGCAAGUGAGAAGAAAUGACACGCGCGCGCUUUGAAAAAUGAGCACGAGCAGCUCACGUGGCAGCAGCGUGGCUCGGCCGUGAAACGUGAAGGAGCUGGGCCCACGUGGAUUUCAGCAGUAACAUGGUUGUGGCUCAUCAAAAGGAAGGUGACUGGUCUUGAAUUUGAACAGGUUUCCAUUGUUGUAUAUUGCUAAACCGUGUAUGUUCAUAAUAAAAUAAACAUUCCUGCCUACCAUUUGUCUGACUUUUGAUUCAUUUCAGCCUGUUUUUGCACUUUUUGAACUGGAAUGGCCCCUUCCUUAGCCAGUUCCUAAGCUCAAAAUAAGUGCUAGAUUAAAUAAAGUCUUGUCAUAACUGGAGUUUCUUGGAAUUUUCUACUGAGAUGCUCUUUUAAAGCAAGACACAAAUGUAAAUAAAUGGUCUGUACAGAUGGAAAAUUGUUUUUGGAAUGAUUGAUUGGCAAUGUAAAUCUAGGAGUCUUAAAUAGAAUGUCUAAAGAACCAGGACUAUUUAAUAGUGUCUGUGAUAGAAUUAAGCUUAUUUGUGGAAAUUUAAACUUAACUCAAGGGAGCAAAGAUCAGAACUCUUCAUGAUGGCCUAUAUUUUUCCUACUUUGGUCAAAUUAAUACAUCUUGUUAAAAUCUAAAAUAAGAUGAGGACUAAUCUUUCACACCAGUUUGUAGAUUUGGAGUCUGGGAAAGUUUUGAGUCUAAACCUUAUAUUGCAACAAACAACUAUAGCGGAUUUGAGGCAGUUUAAAGAUUACGUCCUUGCAUUCCUCCAAUUUUGGGUUUUAAAUACUUUGAACAAAUCGGUGUUUUCCUCUGUUCAGUUAUCCAAUAAAUAACUGAUCACUAAAUGUCAAAAGUAUACUUGCCGUCAUAUCAAAGUUCUGAUGAAUAAUGAAAUG